rnacentral:rRNA from 1 species
CUACGGGCCGCAGCAGUGGGGAAUAUUGGACAAUGGGGGAAACCCUGAUCCAGCAAUGCCGCGUGUGUGAAGAAGGCCUGCGGGUUGUAAAGCACUUUCGGUUGGGAGGACUGCUUCUAGCACUAAUAUUGUUGGAAGUUGACGUUACCUUCAGAAGAAGCACCGGCUAACUCCGUGCCAGCAGCCGCGGUAAUACGGAGGGUGCAAGCGUUAAUCGGAAUUACUGGGCGUAAAGCGCGCGUAGGCGGCUAGAUCAGUCGGGUGUGAAAGCCCCGGGCUUAACCUGGGAACUGCAUCCGAUACUGUCUAGCUUGAGUACAGGAGAGGAGAGUGGAAUUCCACAUGUAGCGGUGAAAUGCGUAGAUAUGUGGAGGAACACCAAUGGCGAAGGCAGCUCUCUGGCCUAAUACUGACGCUGAGGUGCGAAGCGUGGGGAGCAAACAGGAUUAGAUACCCGGGUAGUC